UACGUAGGGGGCAAGCGUUAUCCGGAUUCACUGGGCGUAAAGGGAGCGCAGGCGGCAUGGCAAGUCUGAUGUGAAAACCCGGGGCCCAACCCCGGGAGUGCAUUGGAAACUGCCAGGCUGGAGUGUCGGAGGGGUAAGCGGAAUUCCUAGUGUAGCGGUGAAAUGCGUAGAUAUUAGGAGGAACACCAGUGGCGAAGGCGGCUUACUGGACGAUAACUGACGUUGAGGCUCGAAAGCGUGGGGAGCAAACAGG
rnacentral:rRNA from 1 species